UUUCCGUAGGUGAACCUGCGGAAGGAUCAUUAUAAAUGAAAAACGAAUAACUUCAGGGAAGAAGGGAACCUGCACGGUGACCUCCCCUGUCGGGCCACCCAAUACCUUCAAAAUGCCGCCGUCCUAGCGGUGGCAGACGAAAAAAAAACAAGAAAAACAAAAUAGAAACAGGCACGGUGGCCCGUUCACCUUCACACAACCCUCCGAGUACCGCUUCCAUGUUGCUUCCCCGCAAGUCCACCUCUUUGGUGAGCGCGGGGGAGGUCCGCAUCAAAUUCACCUGAAUGUCACAGCAGUCAGACAGCCAUUCAUGGAAACAAUAAAACUUUCAACAACGGAUCUCUUGGUUCCC
rnacentral:misc_RNA from 1 species